rnacentral:rRNA from 1 species
GUGUCAGCAGCCGCGGUAAUACGAAGGGUGCAAGCGUUACUCGGAAUUACUGGGCGUAAAGCGUGCGUAGGCGGUUUGUUAAGUCUGAUGUGAAAGCCCUGGGCUCAACCUGGGAAUGGCAUUGGAUACUGGCAACCUAGAAUGUGGUAGAGGGUGGCGGAAUUCCCGGUGUAGCAGUGAAAUGCGUAGAUAUCGGGAGGAACAUCCGUGGCGAAGGCGGCCACCUGGACCAACAUUGACGCUGAGGCACGAAAGCGUGGGGAGCAAACAGGAUUAGAAACCCGCGUAGUCC